rnacentral:lncRNA from 1 species
CCAGCAUGCCCUACCAUUCCUUCAAACAAGCAUUCACUGUAGCAGAAAGUCCAAGAAAAGGCUUACUCCCUUGAGGAUCAAGAAGAAAGAAACAGCGAAGAAAGGACCAAUAGCAGCACGGAGAAUACAGAAACCAGAUAAAGAGGAAAAUGAGGAGGUGGAGGUGGUUCAGAUCCCAGGAGGAAUUUUGCUAAAUUCCAAGAAGUCCCAG